rnacentral:rRNA from 1 species
AUGUGCCCAGAUGGGAUUAGCUAGAAGGUGGGGUAAUGGGUCACCUAGGCGACGAUCCCUAGCUGGGCUGAGAGGAUGACCAGCCACACUGGAACUGUGACACGGUCCAGACUCCUACGGGAGGCAGCAGUGGGGAAUAUUGCACAAAGGGCGCAAGCUUGAUGUAUCCAUGCCGCGCGUAUGAAGAAGGCCUUCGGGUUGUAAAGUACUUUCAGCGAGGAGGAAGGCAUUGUGGUUAAUAACCGCAGUGAUUGACGUUACUCGCAGAAAAAGCACCGGCUAACUCCGUGCCAGCAGCCGCGGUAAUACGGAGGGUGCAAGCGUUAAUCGGAAUUACUGGGCGUAAAGCGCACGCAGGCGGUCUGUCAAGUCGGAGGUGAAAUCCCCGGGCUCAACCUGGGAACUGCAUUCGAAACUGGCAGGCUAGAGUCUUGUAGAGGGGGGGUAGAAUUCCAGGUGUAGCGGUGAAAUGCGUAUAGAUCUGGAGGGA